rnacentral:snRNA from 1 species
GUGCUCGCUUCGGCAGCACAUAUACUAAAAUUGCGACAAUACAGAGAAGAUUAGCAUGGUCCCUGCACAAGGAUGACAUGCAAAUUCGUGAAGCGUUCCAUAUUUUU